GACGAACGCUGGCGGCGUGCUUAACACAUGCAAGUCGAACGGUGAAGGGGUCUGCUUUUGUGGGCCCUGGAUGAGUGGCGAACGGGUGAGUAACACGUGAGUAACCUGCCCCCUUCUUCUGGAUAACCGCAUGAAAGUGUGGCUAAUACGGGAUAUUCUGGGUCUGUCGCAUGAUGGGUCUGGGAAAGAUUGCGCCUUUGGGUGUUUUUGGUGGGGGAUGGGCUCGCGGCCUAUCAGCUUGUUGGUGGGGUGAUGGCCUACCAAGGCGGUGACGGGUAGCCGGCCUGAGAGGGUGGACGGCCGCACUGGGACUGAGACACGGCCCAGACUCCUACGGGAGGCAGCAGUGGGGAAUAUUGCACAAUGGGCGCAAGCCUGAUGCAGCGACGCCGCGUGAGGGAUGGAGGCCUUCGGGUUGUAAACCUCUUUCGCCAGUGAAGCAGGCCUGCUCCUUGUGGGUGGGUUGACGGUAGCUGGAGAAGAAGCGCCGGCUAACUACGUG
rnacentral:rRNA from 1 species